rnacentral:tRNA from 1 species
GGUUUGUGGCUCAGUGGUAGAGCACUUGCCUAGCACAUGUGAGGCACUGGGUUCAAUCCUCAGCACCA